CGCAGGCCCCCACCUUCAGCUGGGGAAGGGCCGCGCCCGCCUGCGGCAGCUGAGAGCCCCGGAGCACCCCAGGAAGGACGCUGAGGCCUGGGUCCCGGCGCCCUCCCCAGAGAAGGGAGGAGUCAGGGAGGAAGGGAGAAGCAGGGAGUGCACCCGGGGUCUGCCGCCGACUGCCGGGCCUCUGGCACCAUCCGGGACUCCCGCGGGGCUGCCGCCUGGGAGGGGAGGAGAGUUGGGGACGUGGAAGAGAUGGGGCGCUGGAGGCGCCAGGACGGCGUUGGGUCCACAGAGGCGCGCGCCCUCCGGGCUCGCGGGGGCCGCCAUCGAAGGUGGGCAAACAAGGGGCUUUAGGCCCGGGCCCGGGGUCUGCUGAGCAAGAGUCGACUGGAAUCCACCAUGCCAUCCCCUUGAAGUUAGAUGUGGCCCUGCAACUUGCGUAAACCGUGGAAUGAAAGCAGAGUGAUAUGUUUUUUCCCGGUGGAAACUUAAAGACACAGAGAGCUGAUCACCAUGUUCGUGUUUUCCUACCUUGACAAACAUGGCUAUACGGAGAUGGAGCCUCCCCAAGCCUGGGUCUCUAUGUAAAGAUGUCAGAAGAGCACCAGUCAACCUGCACUGGAAAAGUUGCAUGUGUGAAUAGCUAAUCACAGAGAUUUGGGGGGUUGUUUGUUAUAGCAGUAUAAUCUGGUUUACUCUGAUAGUGUUAUUCCCAAGUGCCUGGGACUUAAUCAGGACUUAUUGAAUGAAUGGCACCUACUUUAUUGUCAGUUUUGUGUUAGGUAUUCUCCAUAUGUUAUCUAAAAUCCCCCCGCUACUUGGGAAGGAGGUGCUCUCAUCCCUAUUUUCAAUUGAGGAAACCAUAUCAGAAAGGUUAAGUAAUUUGCCUGAAAUCACACAGCUUAUAGAUAGCAAAGCCAGGAUUUAAACCCAGCCUGUCCGGUUCCAAAGCCCAUGCUCUUCCCCUUUGCAUAUGCUGUGCUGCCUCUCCUUAAAUGGGAAGGAUGGAAAAUGCCCAGGACAAUGCUUGGCAUACAGUCAUGCCCAAGCCCUGGGAGUUCCUCUCCAGACCAAAUUCCUAUAGCAUUUAUAAUUUGAACCACACUUCAGGACAAUGUUAUCAUGCAUCAUGUGCAAGUGUUUUCACACAUAAUAAAGCAUUUCCUCCAACAAGGUCUCAGGCCACUUGAUUAAGAGCUGGACUGCCUGGGUUUGAAUCCUUGUACCUCUACCUACCACCUAGGACCACCUCGGACAAUUCUUCUCUAUGCCUUGGUUCUCUCUUCUGCAAAAUUGCAGUGGUAAUCCUUUAUCCCAUGAGGUUGGCAGGCAGAUUAAGGGAUGUAAUAUAUGCACUCAAUAAAUCAUGGCUAUUGAUCUUAUACUUAUUUUUCCUCUCCCAUGGCUCCUAACUAGAAUCCUGAGCAGUUACAAGUGGUUUAAGCAUGCUGCUUGAUUAGACUGAUUUUUCGCUUCAUGCUGGUACAGGACAGAUACUGUUAGAUCCGUAGUUGGAAGCAUGAUAUCCACGCUAUCCCCACAACUUGUAUUUACGUACAUUUCAUUACUUGUUCUUUAUUAUACUUUCUGUUAUGAAAGCAAUUUAAAAUAAACAAGGUAUGUUUA